CCUGGCUCAGAGCGAACGUUAGCGGCGGGGCCUAACACAUGCAAAGUCGAGCGAGAAAAGGGACUUCGGUCCUGAGUAAAGCGGCGGACGGGUGAGAAAUACGUAGGUAACCUGCCUUUCAGUGGGGGACAACGUCCGAAAGGACCGCUAAUACCGCAUACGUCAUCCGGGACUCUGGUCUUGGAUGGGAAAGCCGGGGCAACCUGGCGCUGGAAGAGGGGCCUACGUCGCAUCAGCUAGUUGGUGGGGUAAUGGCCCACCAAGGCUAAGACGCGUAGCUGGUCUGAGAGGAUGAUCAGCCACACUGGGACUGAGACACGGCCCAGACUCCUACGGGAGGCAGCAGUGGGGAAUAUUGGACAAUGGGCGCAAGCCUGAUCCAGCCACGCCGCGUGAGUGAUGAAGGCCUUCGGGUCGUAAAGCUCUGUGGGGAGGGACGAACCGCCGCUGGCUAAUAUCCAGCGGCAUGACGGUACCUCCUUAGCAAGCACCGGCUAACUUCGUGCCAGCAGCCGCGGUAA
rnacentral:rRNA from 1 species